rnacentral:tRNA from 1 species
GGUGGCUCAGUGGUAGAGCCCUUGCCUCACAAGCAUGAGGCCCUGGGUUCGAUUCCUCAGCACCA